GACGAACGCUGGCGGCGUGCUUAACACAUGCAAGUCGAACGGAAAGGCCCUGCUUUUGUGGGGUGCUCGAGUGGCGAACGGGUGAGUAACACGUGAGUAACCUGCCCUUGACUUUGGGAUAACUUCAGGAAACUGGGGCUAAUACCGGAUAGGAGCUCCUGCUGCAUGGUGGGGGUUGGAAAGUUUCGGCGGUUGGGGAUGGACUCGCGGCUUAUCAGCUUGUUGGUGGGGUAGUGGCUUACCAAGGCUUUGACGGGUAGCCGGCCUGAGAGGGUGACCGGCCACAUUGGGACUGAGAUACGGCCCAGACUCCUACGGGGGGCAGCGGUGGGGAAUAUUGCACAAGGGGCGGAAGCCUGAUGCAGCAACGCCGCGUGCGGGAUGACGGCCUUCGGGUGGUAAACCGCUUUCGCCUGUGACGAAGCGUGAGUGACGGUAAUGGGUAAAGAAGCACCGGCUAACUACGU
rnacentral:rRNA from 1 species